rnacentral:misc_RNA from 1 species
ACACUGCAGUCUGCUGUACUGGAAAUGACUUAUUUAUUCUACGUUCAUUCACAGCUUCUGUUUAUGGCAUAAUACCUUCUGAGAGUAGGCCAUUAUGACAACAAUGCCUCUGUUUCCUCCAGAUUCUUGGCUGUCACUAUCCUGACCUACCACCUGUGUCACAUCCCAUUAGGUUCUGUGGAUGAGGCAUGGUGCUUGGCACAGACUGACACAAGUUUGGGCAAACUUGGCAGAGCAGCCUAACCCAAAGCGAAAAACAGAAAUGAACCAAGAUACAACCUCUGUGGAAAACCCUACUGAACAAAAGCAACUCUGUGGAGUGUCCUCUCAGCUGCAAAUUGAGACAGAAUUGUGGGGCAAGCUUGGCCACUGAUGCAGAUUCUGCAGCUUGCUACACAGAAAGCCAGAGACCGAGAGCCAAUGACUGAGACUAUGAGUAUUGCCAAGGAAGAAGGCUUUAAUUGGGUGCUGCAGCUGAAAAGAUGAGAGCUCAGCCUCAAAUCCAUCUCCCUGACCAACUAAAGCUAAGGAUUUAUAUAGCAGGGAAGAAGACAGGAACUAGGAAGGGGCAAGGAAGCGAUCCUGAUGAAUGAAGGGUCAGGCAUUUCAUUGUCUGGAUGUGGCGAUCUGCUCACACUGGUCACACCUGGGACUUCCAACAUGAAUGCUUUUGUCACGGAUGCUGCGCUGCUGCUGUUUCUGGUUCUUACUCUGCUUACACCAAGGAGACUGAUGUCCCUGCUAUAACCCCACUUCCGAUGCAGACAGCAAUUCCAAUGCAUUGCAGCUUUCAGGAUUUUCUCACUGUGUUUUUGCCUCUCCUUUUCUUUAAGACAUGAGCAUUUGUCUACGGGGAUGGCCUGAAGUGUAGUCUCCAUUACCCAGAGUCAUCUCACUCUCUGACCUUGACUCAUGAUCUGAGAACAAGUGCUCCCCUGCUUGUCUUCCUGAGGGGCAUCUGUCCCUCUUGCAAACAGAUUUCCUUUGGGCUCUGUCAUUUAGAAAUGCCCUUAUUUAUCUGAAUUAUAGUUCCAGUUCAGAACAUUUACAAAGGAACAGAUUGCUCCCAAUUUUAAAGCAGGUAAAUUCUAAAAGUUGGCAAGCCAGUCAUUUAGAAUUUGAGCCUCAUAUUCCAUAGGUAUGAAAUUAUACAUAAUGAAAAAGUUCCCAGGGCAGCCCACAAAAAGCCUACUUAUCCAAAAUAAAGCUAACCUGAGUUAAUUCAGCUCUAUGGCCUAGCCA